GUAGGUGGCAAGCGUUGUCCGGAAUUAUUGGGCGUAAAGCGCGCGCAGGUGGUUCGUUUAAGUCUGAUGUGAAAGCCCCCGGGCUCAACCGGGGAGGGUCAUUGGAAACUGGGGAACUUGAGUGCAGGAGAGGAAAGUGGAAUUCCACGUGUAGCGGUGAAAUGCGUAGAUAUGUGGAGGAACACCAGUGGCGAAGGCGACUUUCUGGCCUGUAACUGACACUGAGGCGCGAAAGCGUGGGGAGCAAACAGGAUUAGAUACCCUGGUAGUCCACGCCGUAAACGAUGAGUGCUAAGUGUUGGGGGGGUUUCCGCCCCUCAGUGCUGCAGCUAACGCAUUAAGCACUCCGCCUGGGGAGUACGGUCGCAAAGACUG
rnacentral:rRNA from 1 species